GCGGAGGAAAAGAAACAAACAGGGGAUUGCCCUAGUAACGGCGAGUGAAGCGGCAACAGCUCAAAUUUGAAAGCUAGCCUUCGGGUUCGCAUUGUAAUUUGUAGAGGAUGAUUUGGGGAAGCCGCCUGUCUAAGUUCCUUGGAACAGGACGUCAUAGAGGGUGAGAAUCCCGUAUGUGACAGGAAAUGGCACCCUAUGUAAAUCUCCUUCGACGAGUCGAGUUGUUUGGGAAUGCAGCUCUAAAUGGGAGGUAAAUUUCUUCUAAAGCUAAAUAUUGGCGAGAGACCGAUAGCGCACAAGUAGAGUGAUCGAAAGAUGAAAAGCACUUUGGAAAGAGAGUUAAAAAGCACGUGAAAUUGUUGAAAGGGAAGCGCUUGCAAUCAGACUUGUUUAAACUGUUCGGCCGGUCUUCUGACCGGUUUACUCAGUUUGGACAGGCCAGCAUCAGUUUCGGCGGCCGGAUAAAGGCUCUGGGAAUGUGGCCUCCACUUCGGUGGAGGUGUUAUAGCCCAGGGUGUAAUACGGCCAGCCGGGACUGAGGUCCGCGCUUCGGCUAGGAUGCUGGCGUAAUGGUUGUAAGCGACCCGU
rnacentral:rRNA from 1 species